AGUAGAAUUGUUGGGUCAUAUGGUAACCCCAUGUUUAACUCUUUGAGAAACUGCCAAAUUGUUUUCCAAAGUGGCUGUACCAUUUUAUAUUUCCAUCAGCAGU
rnacentral:pre_miRNA from 1 species